AGCGAACGCUGGCGGCAGGCCUAACACAUGCAAGUCGAACGAACCCUUCGGGGUUAGUGGCGGACGGGUGAGUAACACGUGGGAACGUGCCUUUAGGUUCGGAAUAACUCAGGGAAACUUGUGCUGAUACCGAAUGUGCCCUUCGGGGGAAAGAUUUAUCGCCUUUAGAGCGGCCCGCGUCUGAUUAGCUAGUUGGUGAGGUAAUGGCUCACCAAGGCUACGAUCAGUAGCUGGUCUGAGAGGAUGACCAGCCACAUUGGGACUGAGACACGGCCCAAACUCCUACGGGAGGCAGCAGUGGGGAAUCUUGCGCAAUGGGCGAAAGCCUGACGCAGCCAUGCCGCGUGGAUGAUGAAGGUCUUAGGAUUGUAAAAUCCUUUCACCGGUGAAGAUAAUGGCUGUAGCCGGAGAAGAAGCCCCGGCUAACUUCGUGCCAGCCGCCGCAGUAACAC
rnacentral:rRNA from 1 species